AACGAACGCUGGCGGCAUGCCUAACACAUGCAAGUCGAACGAGACCUUCGGGUCUAGUGGCGCACGGGUGCGUAACGCGUGGGAACCUGCCCUUAGGUUCGGAAUAACUCCCCGAAGGGGGUGCUAAUACCGGAUAAUGUCUUCGGACCAAAGAUUUAUCGCCUUUGGAUGGGCCCGCGUUGGAUUAGCUAGUUGGUAGGGUAAAAGCCUACCAAGGCGACGAUCCAUAGCUGGUCUGAGAGGAUGAUCAGCCACACUGGGACUGAGACACGGCCCAGACUCCUACGGGAGGCAGCAGUGGGGAAUAUUGGACAAUGGGCGAAAGUCUGAUCCAGCAAUGCCGCGUGAGUGAUGAAGGCCUUAGGGUUGUAAAGCUCUUUUACCCGGGAUGAUAAUGACAGUACCGGGAGAAUAAGCUCCGGCUAACUCCGUG
rnacentral:rRNA from 1 species